rnacentral:rRNA from 1 species
CAGUAGCCGCGGGAAUACCAGCAGCCCAAGUGGUGGUCGCGAUUAUCGGGCCUAAAGCGCUCGUAGCCGGGCCGGUAAGUCCCUUGUGAAAUCGGACGGCCUAACCGUUCGGCGUGCAAGGGAUACUGUCGGUCUUGAGGCCGGGAAACGUCCGAGGUACUCCGGGGGUAGCGGUGAAAUGUUCUGAUCCUCGGGGGACCACCGGUGGCGAAGGCGUUCGACGAGAACGGGCCUGACGCUGAGGCGCGAAAGCUAGGGGAGCAAACAGGAUUAGAUACCCCUGUAGUCCCUGUCUCUUAAC